rnacentral:tRNA from 1 species
AGGCGGCAUAGCCAAGUGGUAAGGCAGAGGAUUGCAAAUUCUUUAUCCCCAGUUCGAGUCUGGGUGCCGCCUA